rnacentral:rRNA from 1 species
GGUCAAAUCAUCAUGCCCCUUAUACCCUGGGCUACACACGUGCUACAAUGGCUCAUACAAAGAGAAGCGAAACUGUGAAGUGAAGCAAACCUCAUAAAGUGAGUCUCAGUUCGGAUUGUAGUCUGCAACUCGACUACAUGAAGAUGGAAUCGCUAGUAAUCGCGGAUCAGCAUGCCGCGGUGAAUACGUUCCCGGGUCUU